UCUCUCUCUCUCAAGAACAGGGAUUGUGUUUAGAUGGAGAAUCGUCGCGAGUUCUCUUCUUCUUUUUCUUUUACUUUUAAGCUCAAUUUUCGAUGUAGAAUCGUUAUUGUGAUGUUAUUCAUUGUUUUGCAGGUUGUGGUUUAUGAAUCAGUAAAGAAUUGUUGUUGAAUUUAUCAUUUCAUGCUAUGCACACCAAAUGUUCGGUGAAAUGCUUGAACGAUGUUCUUUUGCAAAAUUUGAACCUGCUAAUGGUUUAUCUUUUUACAUGACAAGUUACUUCUAAACAGGUGGAACCUGCAAUUCUUGUUCUCUUGGCCAAUCAGUGCAAAAAGUUUUUCUGAUAUUUUCAAUUGCUCCUCCUUUCAUUAUAGAACUCUGCAGUAUUAUGCAACAACUAUAGAUCUAUAACUGAACCUUGUAAUUGAACACUUUGAAAAUCAUUUUGGGCAAAUGUUCCUACGAUUGUUACUUUUUCUUGCUACUUUAUAAGGUUGGUGAUCCAGCUCAACUUCCAGCAACUAUAAUUUCAAACAUUGCCAAAAAUCAUGGCUUAUGUGAAAGAAUGAAGCAGGCUGGUUAUCCCAUUAAAAUUCUGAAGACAUGAUAUCGAAUGCAUCCGGAGAUUAGAAGCUUCCAGUCUGAGGAGUUUUAUGAAAACUCUUUGGAAGAUGGGGAUGACGUCAAAUUACAGACAGUACGUGGCUGGCAUGAAUACCGCUUCUUUGGCCCAUUCUCCUUUGAUAUACACGAGAGAGAAGUGGCUAAGCCACCUGGACAUGGUUCAUGGAUAAAUAUUGCAGAAGUUGAUUUUGUUCUACUCUUGUGUAAAAAAUUGGUAACACUUUAUCCGGGACUCAAGUCAGGCAACCAAGUUGCAAUUAUAUCACCAUACAGCCAAAUAGCCAACAAGUCAAGCUCUUCCAACAACAUUUUGAAGAGACUUUUGGUGUGUCAGCAGAGAAAAUAGUGGAUAUAUGUACUGUUGAUGGUUUCCAGGACCGUGAAAUGGACGUCGCCAUAUUUUCAUGUGCCAGAGCAAGCAAAUAGGAUCCCAUACCAAUAUAAGAAAAGUCGGUAUAAGACUAAUAUUAGACAUAAAUUUUUGCCCAGGAUUUAUAAUUUUUCUGGCUUCGCCACUGGUUAUAUCAACCUAGUAAAGAAUGGAAAAUAUAAAAAUAA